rnacentral:rRNA from 1 species
UCUUAGGUCUGGUAAUUGGAAUGAGUACAAUUUAAAUCCCUUAACGAGGAUCAACUGGAGGGCAAGUCUGGUGCCAGCAGCCGCGGUAAUUCCAGCUCCAGUAGCGUAUAUUAAAGUUGUUGCAGUUAAAAAGCUCGUAGUUGGAUUUCUGGUUUGACAUGCCUGGCCCGCCACGGUUACGUGUGUGAGUGCCGGCGCGUGUCUGCCAUCCUUCUGGAAAACGUGCCUACCCUUCACUGGGCCGGAUACGCGAUCCAGAUCAUUUACUUUGAAAAAAUUAGAGUGUUUAAAGCAGGCUUUUUGCUAUGAAUACAUUAGCAUGGAAUAAUAAUUUAGGACUUUGGCCCUAUUUUGUUGGUUUCUAGGACUGAAGUAAUGAUUGAUAGGGAUAGUUGGGGGUGCUCGAAUUCAGCGGCCAGAGGUGAAAUUCUUGGAUUCGCUGAAGACGAACUCAUGCGAAAGCAUUCACCAAGGAUGUCUUCUUUAAUCAAGAACGAAAGUUGGGGGAUCGAAGACGAUCAGAUACCGUCGUAGUCUCAACCAUAAACUAUGCCGACUAGGGAUCAGCGAACGUUGAAUUUUUGACUUCGUUGGCACCUUAUGAGAAAUCAAAGUCUUUGGGUUCCGGGGGGAGUAUGGUCGCAAGGCUGAAACUUAAAGGAAUUGACGGAAGGGCACCACCAGGAGUGGAGCCUGCGGCUUAAUUUGACCCAACACGGGAAAACUUACCAGGUCCGGACAUAGUGAGGAUUGACAGAUUGAAGAUCUUUCUUGAUUCUAUGGGUGGUGCAUGGCCGCUCUUAGUUGGUGGAGUGAUUUGUCUGGUUAAUUCCGUUAACGAUCGAGACCUCGACCUGCUAAAUAGUUUCAUAAAUCCUUCGGGAUUUGCUGUAGACUUCUUAGAGGGACUAUCGGUGUGUAGCCGAUGGAAGUUCGAGGCAAUAACAGGUCUGUGAUGCCCUUAGAUGCCCUGGGCCGCACGCGCGCUACACUGAUGCGUUCAUCGAGCUUACAACCUUGACUGAAAGGUCUGGGUAAUCUUUUGAAAUCGCAUCGUGCUGGGGAUAGAUGAUUGUAAUUAUUCAUCUUCAACGAGGAAUUCCUAGUAAACGCAAGUCAUUAGCUUGCAUUGAUUACGUCCCUGCCCUUUGUACACACCGCCCGUCGCUGCUGCCGAUUGAGCGAUUUGAUGAACCUCAGGGACUGCUGCUCUUGGUUGGGUUUCCUUCCUUGGGUUGGCGGGAACUGAUGUGAAUCUACUCGCUUAGAGGAAGCAAAAGUCGUAACAAGGUU